rnacentral:rRNA from 1 species
GACGAACGCUGGCGGCGUGCCUAAUACAUGCAAGUCGAACGAGAGCGACCGGUGCUUGCACUGGUCAAUCUAGUGGCGAACGGGUGAGUAACACGUGGGUAACCUGCCCAUCAGAGGGGGAUAACAUCCGGAAGCGGAUGCUAAAACCGCAUAGGUCUUCGAGCCGCAUGGCUUGAAGAGGAAAAGAGGCGCAAGCUUCUGCUGAUGGAUGGACCCGCGGUGCAUUAGCUAGUUGGUGAGGUAACGGCUCACCAAGGCCGUGAUGCAUAGCCGACCUGAGAGGGUGAUCGGCCACAUUGGGACUGAGACACGGCCCAAACUCCUACGGGAGGCAGCAGUAGGGAAUCUUCCGCAAUGGACGCAAGUCUGACGGAGCAACGCCGCGUGAGUGAAGAAGGUUUUCGGAUCGUAAAACUCUGUUGUUAGAGAAGAACAAGUGCUAGAGUAACUGUUAGCGCCUUGACGGUAUCUAACCAGAAAGCCACGGCUAACUACGUG